GACGAACGCUGGCGGCGUGCCUAAUACAUGCAAGUCGAGCGGACUGAUUCGGGGCUUGCCCCGUUGAUGUCAGCGGCGGACGGGUGAGUAACACGUGGGUAACCUGCCUGACAGACUGGGAUAACGCUUGGAAACGAGUGCUAAUACCAGAUAGGCUCUUUGACCGCAUGGUCGUAGAGGGAAAGAAGCUAUCGCUUCACUGUCAGAUGGACCCGCGGCGCAUUAGCUAGUUGGUGAGGUAACGGCUCACCAAGACGACGAUGCGUAGCCGACCUGAGAGGGUGACCGGCCACACUGGGACUGAGACACGGCCCAGACUCCUACGGGAGGCAGCAGUAGGGAAUCUUCCACAAUGGGCGAAAGCCUGAUGGAGCAACGCCGCGUGAGUGAUGAAGGCCUUCGGGUUGUAAAACUCUGUCUUCUGUGACGAACAAGCCUGUGAGUGGAAAGCUCAGGCCCUGACGGUAACAGAGGAGGAAGCCACGGCUAGCUACGUGCCAGCAGCCGCAGUAA
rnacentral:rRNA from 1 species